GGAAGAAGAAAUAGAGGGAAGAAAGGGAAGAAAUUUCAAGGAAGAAGAAAAGAAGGAAUAGAAGGAAAGAAGAGAGAGAGAGAUGAGCAGAGAAUAACCUAGAAUUCGAGAAUUUUGGAAGACUCACAUGAAUUUUCCCAGAGUUGUGACUCCAGUCGAAAAUAUUGGAAGCAAAGCCAGCUUAGAUCAAGGCUCUAAUACUAAUUUGUUACAUAGCAGCUUGCACACUCAGUGAAACAGAGGAACAG
rnacentral:misc_RNA from 1 species